rnacentral:lncRNA from 1 species
CCAGGGAGCAGAGUCCGUGUCACCUGAAGAGGCAGACGCUCCCCUGCCCUGGUGUCUGGAGGCAAGACGGCGCCAAGGCGGAGGCACGGGAGCAUCUUUCAUUCCUCCCCCCAUGCUUGCUGCUUCAUCAACAUCAACGUCCUGCUGCCAGGGCUGAUGAAUGGCUCAGGAGCGUCACAGCUCGGUGGCUCUUAUGCCACGUGCACUGGCAGCUGUCACUGCCGUCCUACCUGUGACCCACAUGUGUCUUCCUGAAAUGACUGAAAACAAGCUUUCCCCUCAUAUGUUGCUAUCUUCUCAGAGUCAAUCAGCAAUGCUAAUCAAAUCUGUGUGCUAAGCUAGGAUUUUGGACCUUCUUACGUGAAGGCGCCUGAAAUGAGGUCCCCUUUCCUGAAGGCUGACUGUUGUUUUGUCUCCAAUGAGUAACCCCAAGACUGUGCACAGUGAGCAAGAGGAAGGGGCAGAAGAUGGAGGGUGGAGGUGGCAUGUGAGCUGGGGUCCAUCACACACUCAGGAUUCUCUGUAUGCAAAUUUCAUUCCCAAUGCAAUGGGUGUUGUUGAAGACUUUGAAGUUCAGGGGCAAAGUCUGAUUUACUCUGUAAGGGGAUUACUCUGGCAGAGGCUUGGGAGGAUCUGGGGGCAAUUGGGAGCUCUUGGAAUUGUCAAGAUAGGAGGAGAUAGAUGGUGGUGUGGACCAGGUUAACAGACAUGGGGGGAUGUGGACAAACCUGCUGAUUAUGAGUCUACAGUCUGCAUUAGUAGCUGUGGGAUUUGUCCCCCUUGCUGUUCAUGGCUCUGCUGAUCCUUUGGGUAAUAGAGCUGAUGGGACUUUUGUGGUUCAAUCUCCUUGAGGAGCCCUUAGUAAUCAUUUGGCUUCUAGUAAGUUAACUCCAAAUAUUCCCAGAUUAUUCACACAACUGUGUAUGGCCAGAGAAAAAUGGCUUCUGCUGAUGAAAACUGGAGUGUGAGCCGAUUGAAGAAAACCUGCCCAUUAUCGAGUAUUGAUGACUGGAAAAUAAUGGAAACAGAAGCCUUGGGGAUGCUGAAAGGAGACAACAGUUCUUAAAUCCCCCAAACUAGCUUUCUUAAAAGCAAAAGUAUUCUAAAAUUUUUGAUAAUAGUUAUAGCUAGCAUUUAUAGA